rnacentral:rRNA from 1 species
UACGAAGGGGGCUAGCGUUGCUCGGAAUCACUGGGCGUAAAGCGCACGUAGGCGGAUUGUUAAGUCGGGGGUGAAAUCCUGGAGCUCAACUCCAGAACUGCCUUCGAUACUGGCGAUCUCGAGUCCGGGAGAGGUGAGUGGAACUCCGAGAGUAGAGGUGAAAUUCGUAGAUAUUCGGAAGAACACCAGUGGCGAAGGCGGCUCACUGGCCCGGUACUGACGCUGAGGUGCGAAAGCGUGGGGAGCAAACAGG